rnacentral:rRNA from 1 species
UGAGUAACCUGCCCUUAACUCUGGAUAAGCCUGGGAAACUGGGUCUAAUACCGGAUAUGACUCCUCAUCGCAUGGUGGGGGGUGGAAAGCUUUAUUGUGGUUUUGGAUGGACUCGCGGCCUAUCAGCUUGUUGGUGAGGUAAUAGCUCACCAAGGCGACGACGGGUAGCCGGCCUGAGAGGGUGACCGGCCACACUGGGACUGAGACACGGCCCAGACUCCUACGGGAGCAG